rnacentral:rRNA from 1 species
CAAGUCGAACGAGAAAGCAGGAGCAAUCUUGUGAGUAAAGUGGCGUACGGGUGAGUAACACGUGGAUCAUCUACCCUCUUGUGGGGGAUAACUCUGGGAAACCGGAGCUAAUACCGCAUAAGUCCGAGAGGAGAAAGCAGCAAUGCGCAGGAGGAGGAGUCCGCGGCCGAUUAGCUAGUUGGUAGGGUAAAAGCCUACCAAGGCUACGAUCGGUAGCCGGCCUGAGAGGGCACACGGCCACACUGGCACUGAAACACGGGCCAGACUCCUACGGGAGGCAGCAGUGGGGAAUCUUGCACAAUGGGGGCAACCCUGAUGCAGCGACGCCGCGUGAGCGAUGAAGCCCUUCGGGGUGUAAAGCUCUUUCGGCAGGGAAGAUUAUGACGGUACCUGCAGAAGCAGCUGCGGCUAACUACGUGCCAGCAGCCGCGGUAAUACGUAGGCAGCAAGCGUUGUUCGGAGUUACUGGGCGUAAAGGGUGUGUAGGCGGUCUUCUAAGUUUGGUGUGAAAUCUCCCGGCUCAACUGGGAGGGUGCGCCGAAAACUGGGAGGCUAGAGUGCGGGAUGGGAGAGUGGAAUUCCUGGUGUAGCGGUGAAAUGCGUAGAUAUCAGGAGGAACACCUGUGGUGUAGACGGCUCUCUGGACCGCAACUGACGCUGAGACACGAAAGCGUGGGUAGCAAACAGGAUUAGAUACCCUGGUAGUCCACGCCCUAAACGAUGCAUAUUUGGUGUGGGCCAUUCAUUUGGUCCGUGCCGGAGCUAACGCGUUAAAUAUGCCGCCUGGGGAGUACGGUCG